AAAUCUUUGCAAGUCAACAGAAGAAAAUAAUGCCAGGGCUAAUAAGCAUUUAGAAAAGACAUUAUUGUUUGAUUUUUUUAUGAGGCAAACUGCUUACUGGCUAAAAACUCACUCUGAUAUGUGUAUUCCCUGUAGAUUUGUUCUGUAUAAAACAGAGCUGAGUUCUCAGUUGGAGUGAGAAUCUAAACAGGUGCCUGGGCCUAGUGACAUUAUGCACAUUAGCCCCUGGCCUGCUCACAGCCUGUUAAACAGCUGAAGUUGAAACAAUGGUGGUGCCGGCCAGGCACCGCCGGAGGCCUGUCUGCCUUGGGAUUCAGCCAUUUGCAUUGAUUUUUUUUUUAACUCAUGUUUUUCAUGAAAACACAAAUAUUUGCCAUGGCAACUGGGUUGUCACAUGACAUGCUACACCAUAAGCAGCCUGGCAAUCUCUUAAGGGGAAACGGCGCACCAGUGUGGAAAAGGCACCUGGCUCCUCAUGAGGAUGUCUGGGCAUCAGAGGCAGGGAGGGCGGGGAGCAGCCUACUCUGAGAGAGUGGGGUUCAUCUCCCUGCGGUCCCUUCUAAUCCCUUCUUUCUUUUUUUCAUGAGAACAGCUAAAAACAUGACUACACAAGUCAUACCAGAAAAAGUACUGCCAGAUGUCCCCUUUUGAUGGAGAAAAGUUUUAAUUAUCCUAAAUCUGUCAGUGGUCCUUAAAAUGAGAAAACAACCUACAGAAAAGCCCAGCCCCUUUAAACUGGGGGCAUCUUCAGGAGAGUGAAUUACACGGCCAUGUGAGGGACUAAUGUUAGAGAAUACAGUCUCCUUCCUCUUCUCCAUUGUGGUUUUCUGUGAAUACCUAGAGAGCUUGUCUUUUCUUAUGCUUGAAGACAAAUGAGAUAUGGGAAACGCCUCUCAGUACCACACUGCAUAUGCUACAGAUGUAGAUGUGGAUGGAAAACAAGUUACUGCACCCCAGACUUCUGGUCCCUGAGCAGCUGCUAGCAUAGGCUGAUCACUUGCCUGCCACUCUCAAAAUACUGCAGUGGCUCUGCUCACCUUCAGCCCUGCCUAUAGUGUCCUGGCAGAGUUGACUUCUGCAUUCAUUUUCCCUUUUAAAGUAGGAGCUGACUGUGUAGUUCAGUGGUGAGCUCUUGCCUAGCAUGUGGGAGGCCCUGCAUUUGAUCCACAGCACCACAGAGACUAAUGAUAACCAUAAUAAGAUAAACUGCUCCCUAACAGCCACUGAAAUACUGCUUACUCCUGUGUGGAAGGAACAACUCUACAGUGUGUCUGUUACACAGAAUCACAUAGGCAGCCUGCACACGGGGCAGCUUGCCCUCCUCUGUGGUAGACAUAUGUGUACCUUGGGUAUUUCUAUCUGGUGAGAAGGCUCCUCCACUUCUUCAGGAACUGGGCGUGGCUUGAGAGCGAGAGGAAAGGAGGCUGUGGACAGAGGCAGGACAACAUUACUCCUUCCAGAAAGACAGGCUAGGCCAUCUGGUGCAUCCUAUGGGGUUCAACUUGAAAGUCAGAUGGCUGGCAUCCACUGUAUGCUUACUACCUGCAUUUCCUGUACCCAUUCUGUGACACCGCUGGGAUUCUUGUCUCCAAAGCAAAAUCUAUGAUAAGGCAACUACUUCUUUAGAAAAUAAGGUCAGCCCGCCUUAUGCAAAUGCCUAGAGGAAAGCUAGAUCUAAAAGGCAGGAAGAGUAGAGAGGAAAAUUUGUUUCU
rnacentral:lncRNA from 1 species